AUAUAGGCAUUGGGCGUGGAUUCCAGAAGAUCAUACGCCUUCUUAACAGUUCCUCCCAUCCCCUUGGUUGGAUCAGUGAGAAUCAAAUCAGCUCCAAAGCAUCUCAUACACACCCUUCUCUCCAAGCUUGUGUAAGAUGGCAUGGUUAAAACCAUUUUAUACCUCUCAUGGCCGCCAUAAACGCCAUGCUGAUUCCCAUAUUUCCUGAUGUUGGCUCGAUCAGUAUUGUCUGAUGCAAAAUUCACACAAUAGUAAUGAGGAAAAUCUGAAACUGUAAUGCAAGACAAACAUAUGCAGUUAACCGGAAAAUGAUAGCAAAGAGAAAUCUUCAGCUAACCUCCCCAGGAGUUAUCAAGCCCUUCUCUUCUGCAUCGUUGAUCAUAGAAAGUGCCGGUCUGCACCAAAAUUAAGCAAACAAAUUUCCAUUGAUCUGUACUCGGCAGUUAAUGUGUAUAUACAAAAGCAACAUUAAGCAGUAAGAAUUUAUAUUUCUCGUGCUGGUGAUUCUCUGAAGUAACAAUUUACCUGUCCUUGAUGCUGGCGGUGGGUUGGAACAUCUCUUGCUUGACGGCAAUAUACGCUCCACAUCCCUCAGUGACUUUGUUAAGAUAAACAAUAGGAGUUCUACCAAUGAGCUGAAAUAUGGCAAAAAGAUUAUCAAUGAAAAGGCAAGAAGAAGAACGAACACAGGCUAAGACAAGUUUUUAGUCCCUAUAGUUUUUAAAGUUCCAUUUCCGUCGCUAUAUUUUCAGCUGCGUGGAAUUUGGUCCAUAUAGUUUGCAAAUUUAUCCAAUCCAAGAACAUUCAUCAACUUCUGUUAACUUCUUGUACUUAAUACAUCAAAUUUACCUUUCACAGUCCAACGUGUCACGCAAGUGACAAUUUUGCACAAGAAAUUAAUGGGAGUUGACGAAUGUCCUAGGAUAGGAUACCUCUUCUUUGAUUUCUUUUCCACUGAUUACCGUGCCUAAAUUCAUGGCUAUCCACAUAAGUACAUAUUGAUGCAUAAACUACAUGAUCAUUUUACCUCAGCUAGUAAUCUCCACACCCCAAAUCAUUUAAAUUAAACCCAAAUCAGUUACACAGAUCUAUACAGUCAAGUCUCUUUCAUUGGAAAAAGAAACAAUACAUUUUUGUUUUUGAACAAACGAUAUUAUCUACAGGGUGGGGUAGCGGGCUAAGCCUUGCAAUGGGCUAGCAAUAAUAUGGUUUAAAUUCGCCUUUGAUGAGAAUCGAACCUAAGACCUCACUUAUGUAUAUGUUUCGAUCUUUUCAUUAAAAUUACAGAAAAAAGUUUUGCCUAAAAAAAAGCACUUUUACAAGAAACAUUUUUAUUAAAAGAAGAUCGAAUUUUUUAAUAAAAUCAAAGCUUUUUGAAAGAGCACUUGAUGAUGAAAUAUUCAUAGUUACUCAUUAUUACACUUGAUAUCAAGAGUUAAAGAUUAAAACGCAAGAAACAUAUUUAAUUACACUCCAUCUUGAUGAUUUAAGUCACCUGGUGACCAAAAUAACAUUUCUACGUAAACAUAUAUAAAUAAUGAACUGGAUUGAUUAUUACCAAAUACCACCAAAAACGGAAUCUGAAAAUAUUAACAAAUCAUGCAAUUAAACAUUUCCAGUCUACCAAAAAAUUAAUGAGAUUUCUAGGGGGAGAGAGAGAGAUACUUGGGAAACUUGGGUUUUGAUUUGGGUGCCAGGAAGAUCCUUGGGGAGAUUUCUGAUUCUCUGAGCAAAAGAUGGAGAAUCAGUGAGGGGUUGGGACACCUCGGUGGAGAACAGUUUCCGUCUCAUGGCUCCAUUGCAGAGCACAGAGGACCUUUUCUUCAGAAAGCUCCUUAAAGCCGCCAUUGAUGGAUGCUAGCUAGUACUACUGUGCUG
rnacentral:lncRNA from 1 species